rnacentral:misc_RNA from 1 species
GGAAGUAAAAGUCGUCACAAGGUUUCCGUAGGUGAACCUGCGGAAGGAUCAUUAUUGUAUAACCGAGGUGCGAGGGCUGUCGCUGACCCGAAAGGUCGUGCACGCCCGAGUGCCCUCACACACAUCCAUCUCACCCCUAUGUGCACCACCGCGUGGGUCCCCCUUUGGCUUGUUCGGAGGGGGGCUUACGUUUUCACACAAACUUUGUAUGCAGUGUAGAAUGUAUUUUUUGUUUUUGCGAUCACGCAAUCAAUACAACUUUCAACAACGGAUCUCUUGGCUCUC